rnacentral:lncRNA from 1 species
UGGAUUGGAGUUACAAAGCUCACUAAUUGGUGAAAUAUAAUGCAUGUAAUUAAAUGUGGAGAGGUGAAGAGUUGAGCAUUUAGAAGUGGAAAUUAAUGGUGGAGGAGAAUGGAUUGAGUUACAAAGCUCACUAAUUGAUAGAAUAUGAUGUAAUGUAAUUAAAUGUGGAGAGGUGAAGGGUUUAGCAUAGCAUUUAGAAGUGAGGAUUAAUGAUGGAGGGGAGUGGAUUGGAGUUACAAAGCUCACUAAUUGGUGGAAUAUAAUGCAUGUAAUUAAAUAUGGAGAGGUGAAGGGUUAAGCAUUUAGAAGUGGAAAAGAAACGUAAAUUUUAUAUUGGGGAUUCAUAUAAGAGAUGGAUAUUAUUUAUUAACCUAAGA